UGUGAAGGCUGAUGAAAGUAGAAAUGUUUAUAAUGUACAAUAACCAAAUAUUUAAGAUCCAGUGGGGUGCACUGUACUAUGUAGGAAGGACACAGAAUUUACAUGAGACACACACUACUUCAUAAAGGAUGAAAAGGCUUUUAACUCCAACCAUUGUCAAACAUAGAGGACGAGCCUAGCAUAAUGGAGUACUGAUGCUGUUCGGAUACCACCACAAUACACUAAUAAAAAACAAGCUUAACGCACAGAAAGAUCCACGGAGGAAAGAGGCUCUAAACAGGGAUACAAUCAAAUGAAGUCUGGAG